GUUACGGAAAACGGAGAAUGCUGCUCGUCGCUUAUUUUACAGUUCACCCGGAAGCCGAGAGGUUGUAUACAUACAGGUGGCACUCGAACGUGAGUAACUGCAGCAGAGUAAACACCAUAACAUCCAGAGGUUAUUGAUGGAAGUUGACCCAAACCUAUUCUAUUCACACUCAAGUCAUUGAUUCAACAGAAAGUGAGCAUAACAUUGACAGGUUAAUGAUGGAAGUUGAAAGCAAUCCACAGAAUCCUUUCUCUGUCACUGAAGCCAAUGAAAGCUGUUAAAGGGAUUUGCUGGUAACCUCAAGAAAUAUAUUUAUUAACACCUUCAAAGUGGGUGAUCUCAAGAAAGAACCUGUUAUUGAACCCUGGAAACUGGUGAUCUUAUGAAAGAACCUGUUAUUGGAAUCCUGGAAACUGGUGAUCUUAUGAAAGAACCUGUUAUUGGAAUCCUGGAAAUAGUUUCCAAAUGUUUUUGAGAAUCAUUAAAAAACAGCAAAACAGUCUCAUACAUGUUGUGAAAACCUUGAAACAUUUUCUAAAUCAGGUGAAAUGAAAAGAUGUGUGCUCUGUCACCGUGGAAUCAAGACCUAUGAGUGUGCUCGAUGUGGGAAAACAUUCACACUAUCAGCUAAUCUCCAGACACACGUGAAGAUCCACAGUGGAAUCAAGACCUGCGUGUGCUGAAUGUUGGAAAACAUUCACACAAUCAGCUAAUCUCCAAACACACAUGAACAUUCACAGUAGAAUAAAGAGCUGUGAAUGUGGGAAAGCAUUUACACGAUCAGCUUAUCUUCAGAAACACAUGAAGAUUCACAGUAGAAUGAAGUCAUAUGAAUGUGUUGACGGUGGGAAAACUUUACAGGACCAGAUAGUAUGCAGAAACACAUGAAUAUUUACAGUGGAAUCAAGACAUGAUUGUGGUGAAAGUGGGAAACAAUUUACACUAUCAGAAACAAAUGAAGGUUCCCAGUGGAUUCAAAUCUCAUCAGUGCAUUGUGUGUGAAAAACAUUUACACAUUCAAGUAGUCUAAAACACACAUGAGGAUUCACAGUGGAAUCAAGCCUUAUAAAUGUGUUGAAUGUGGAAAAACAUUAACACGAUCAUAUACUCUUAAGUUACAUAUGCAGAUUCACAGUGGAAUAAAGCCUCAUGAAUGUGUUGAAUGUGGGAAACAAUUUACAGGAUCAUAUACUCUUAAGGCACACAUGAAGAUCCACAAUGGAAUAAAGCCUCAUGAAUGUGUUGAAUACGGGAAAACAUUUGCACGUUCAGGUCAUAUGCAGGCACACAUGAGGAUUCACAGUGGAAUCAAACCUUAUGAAUGUGUUGAAUGUGCGAAAAAAUUUACAAAUCCAAGUAAUCUACAAAGACAUAUGACGAUUCACAGUGGAAUCAAACCUCAUCAGUGCAUUGUAUGUGAGAAAACAUUUACACAAUUAGUUAAUAUGCAGACACACAUGAGGAUUCACACAGGAAUCAUCCCUUAUGAAUGUGGUGAAUGUGGGAAAAAAUUUACACGUUCCAGUAGUCUGCAGGCACACAUGGGAAUUCACAGUUGAAUCAAACAUUAUGAAUGUGUUGAAUUUUGGGAAAAUUUCACACAAUCAUGUAAUAUGUGGGUAGAAAUCAGGCCUUAUGAAUGUGUUGAAUGAGGGAAAACAUUUCCACAAUCACAUGAUAAUUCACAGUGGAAUCAAGCCUGAUGAAUGUGGGAAACACAUAUGAGGAUUCACAGUGGAAUUAAGGGUAUGAAUGUGGGAAAAAUUUAAACAUUGGAAAACAAUCACUCACGUGGGAAAAAUAUUACACAGUCUGCAGGCACACAUGAGAAUUCACAGUGAAAUAAAGGUUGAUGAAUA